GACAGAGGAGCCAAGCGUUGUCCGGAAUUAUUGGGCGUAAAGCGCGCGCAGGCGGUUAAUUAAGUCUGGUGUUUAAAACUGGGGCUCAACCCUAGUACGCACUGGAAACUGGUUGACUUGAGUGCAAUAGAGGAGAGUGGAAUUCCCCGUGUAGCGGUGAAAUGCGUAGAUAUGUGGAGGAACACCAGUGGCGAAGGCGACUCUCUGGCUUGCAACUGACGCUGAGGCGCGAAAGCGUGGGUAGCGAACAGG
rnacentral:rRNA from 1 species